GACGAACGCUGGCGGCGUGCUUAACACAUGCAAGUCGAACGGAAAGGCCCUGCUUUUGUGGGGUGCUCGAGUGGCGAACGGGUGAGUAACACGUGAGUAACCUGCCCUUGACUUUGGGAUAACUUCAGGAAACUGGGGCUAAUACCGGAUAGGAGCUCCUGCUGCAUGGUGGGGGUUGGAAAGUUUCGGCGGUUGGGGAUGGACUCGCGGCUUAUCAGCUUGUUGGUGGGGUAGUGGCUUACCAAGGCUUUGACGGGUAGCCGGCCUGAGAGGGUGACCGGCGAGAGGGGGAGUGAGGAGAGGCGCAGCGGGCGAGGGGAGGCAGAAGGGGGGAAGGGUGCGGACUGGGGGCGAGGGUGAUGCAGCGGCGCCGGGGGAGGGAGGACGGCAUGAGGGGUGUAAACAGCUUGCAGUUGGGAAGAAGCGAGAGGGACGGUACCUGCAGAAGAAGCGCCGGCUAACUACGUG
rnacentral:rRNA from 1 species